GACGUAGGUGGCGAACGUUAUCCGGAAUUAUUGGGCGUAAAGGGUGCGUAGGCGGCAUGAUAAGUUAUUGGCGGCAAAUCGAGGCUCAACCUCGUGGAAACUGAUAAUACUGUCUUGCUUGAGUACAGUAGAGGUUAACGGAACUCCAUGUGGAGCGGUAAAAUGUGUAGAUAUAUGGAAGAACAUCAAUAACGGCGAAGGCAGUUAACUAUUCUGUUACUGACGUUGAGGCACGAAAGCGUGGGGAGCAAAACGG
rnacentral:rRNA from 1 species